rnacentral:rRNA from 1 species
AACCCAAAGGACUUGGCGGUGCACUAAUCCCCCCAGGGGAACCUGGCCCUUAAUUCGAUGAUCCACGAACCUCUUACCUUUUCUAGUUUUGCUUAUCUUUGCAAGAAGUAAACAAAGAUCAGCUCGCAUACCGCCGUUUCGUAGCUUGUAUCGUGAGAGGACAUAAACAGGCGCCCUAGUGGCCCGUAUAAAAAUAAAUAAGGGUUUCUCUAAUAAUUCAGGUAAACGUUUGCUGCCCUAUGGAAAGGGGGUGCUGGGUUACAAUUGGGGUUUAUAAUGGCGUGGCUGCCUUAAGGGCAAGACAAAAGAGGACUUGGAAGUAAUAGCCUUGGACAAUGAGGCUGUGAAUACUGCUCUAGUGUGUGUACAAAUCGCCCGUCACUCUCUGA